UCCCUGGUGGUCCAGUGGUUAAGACUCCAGGCUCCCAAGGAAGGGCCUGGGUUCAAUCCCUGGUCAGGGAA
rnacentral:tRNA from 1 species